GUGUGCGUAAUUUAAAAAAAAUAUCAAGUUG
rnacentral:tRNA from 1 species